UACGUAGGGUGCAAGCGUUGUCCGGAAUUAUUGGGCGUAAAGAGCUCGUAGGCGGUUUGUCGCGUCUGCUGUGAAAACUCGGGGCUUAACCCCGGGCCUGCAGUGGGUACGGGCAGACUAGAGUGCGGUAGGGGAGACUGGAAUUCCUGGUGUAGCGGUGAAAUGCGCAGAUAUCAGGAGGACACCGGUGGCGAAGGCGGGUCUCUGGGCCGAAAUUGACGCUGAGGAGCGAAAGCGUGGGGGAGCAAACAGG
rnacentral:rRNA from 1 species